UACAGAGGGGGCAAGCGUUAUUCGGAAUUAUUGGGCGUAAAGGGCGCGUAGGCGGCUUUUCAAGUGACGGGUGAAAUCCCUCGGCUUAACCGAGGAACUGCCUGUCAGACUGGAAGGCUUGAGACCGGGAGAGGUGAGUGGAAUUCCCAGUGUAGCGGUGAAAUGCGUAGAUAUUGGGAGGAACACCAGUGGCGAAGGCGGCUCACUGGACCGGAACUGACGCUGAGGCGCGAAAAGCGUGGGGAGCAAACAGGG
rnacentral:rRNA from 1 species